rnacentral:rRNA from 1 species
CCUACGGGAGGCAGCAGUGGGGGAUAUUGCACAAUGGGGGGAACUCUGAUGCAGCGACGCCGCGUGGGUGAAGAAGCGCCUCGGCGCGUAAAGCCCUGUCAGCAGGGAAGAAAAUGACGGUACCUGAAUAAGAAGCCCCGGCUAACUACGUGCCAGCAGCCGCGGUACUACGUAGGGGGCAAGCGUUAUCCGGAUUUACGGGGUGUAAAGGGGGCGCAGACGGCGAUGCAAGCCAGGAGUGAAAGCCCGGGGCCCAACCCCGGGACUGCUCUUGGAACUGCGUGGCUGGAGUGCAGGAGGGGCAGGCGGAAUUCCUGGUGUAGCGGUGAAAUGCGUAGAUAUCAGAAGGAACACCGGUGGCGAAGGCGGCCUGCUGGACUGCAACUGACGUUGAGGCCCGAAAGCGUGGGGAGCAAACAGGAUUAGAUACCCUUGUAGUC